GACGUAGGGCGCGAGCGUUGUCCGGAUUUAUUGGGCGUAAAGAGCUCGUAGGCGGGUUGUCGCGUCGUCUGUGAAAACCCACGGCUCAACUGUGGGCUUGCAGUCGAUACGGGCAGGCUAGAGUUCGGUAGGGGAGACUGGAAUUCCUGGUGUAGCGGUGAAAUGCGCAGAUAUCAGGAGGAACACCGGUGGCGAAGGCGGGUCUCUGGGCCGAUACUGACGCUGAGGAGCGAAAGCGUGGGGAGCGAACGGG
rnacentral:rRNA from 1 species